rnacentral:rRNA from 1 species
AUUGAACGCUGGCGGCAUGCCUUACACAUGCAAGUCGAACGGUAACAGGUCUUCGGACGCUGACGAGUGGCGAACGGGUGAGUAAUACAUCGGAACGUGCUCAGUCGUGGGGGAUAACUACUCGAAAGAGUAGCAAAUACCGCAUAUGAUAUGAGGAUGAAAGCGGGGGACAUUCGGGCCUCGCGCGAUGGGAGCGGACGAGGGCAGAUUAGGUAGUUGGUGGGAUAAAAGCUUACCAAGCCGACGAUCUGUAGCUGGUCUGAGAGGACGACCAGCCACACUGUGACUGAGACACGGCCCAGACUCCUACGGGAGGCAGCAGUGGGCAAUUUUGGACAAUUGGCGAAAGCCUGAUCCAGCAAUGCCGCGUGCAGGAUGAAGGCCUUCGGGUUGUAAACUGCUUUUGUACGGAACGAAAAAGUCUCCUCUAAUACAGGAGGCCCAUGACGGUACCGUAAGAAUAAGCACCGGCUAACUACGUGCCAGCCGCCGCCGUAA